GCGACCCCAGGAUGGGCGAGGCCACCCGCCGAGUUUAAGCAUAUCAAUAAGCG
rnacentral:rRNA from 2 species